rfam:Colinus virginianus strain Texas jcf7180006221139, whole genome shotgun sequence.
GCCUGGCUAUUUCAGUCGGUAGAGCAUGAGACUCUAAAACUCAGGGUCAGGGGUUCAAGCCCCAUGUUGGGCA